UACCAAAGUGUUGAGUUCGUGGCAUUCUUUCCAUGGUUGCCAUGGUAAUUAAACUUUGGAAUAAUAAACAGGGUGCUGAAUUACAGAUUCUUUGAAAAUUCUCCUUUCAAAGUUUUUCAGAAUGGCACCCGACAAUG